UCUCUGAGCUAGGCAGGGGAGAUACCAUGGUCACAAAGGUGAUUUUCCGAGAACACAUUUUUAUGUUCCCCGGAUGCAUCCCAGAUAUGCUGACCCCUGUGAUUUCCCCAAAUGUGGAAAACUCAACUGCAUAAUUUGUGGUAGUGGGGGCCUGCAUUCGUGUUCUCCUCUA
rnacentral:snRNA from 1 species